UUUAAGAUGUUAAAACGUUGCAAAAUACAGAAAAGAAAAAGAAUUAACCCAAAACUUUCUCCUGACUAGGAAGUCAUGUGGGCUGGAAGAUCCUGGGCAUCAGAUGGCUGAAUUGGGGUGGUGUCUUCUAUGGCUUCCCAGUGCUGCUCACCAUGACCCGGUCUCCAGGGACCACUGGUGAGCAAGAACACAGCAGGGACAAUUCUAUUUCAAACUUCAAACCUCUUUAGCCACUGAUAAACACCUGAAUGAGUUUACUGUGAAAGACUGAGAAAUUCACUGAUUGGAGGAGGUUGUGUAACAUCCAUUAACAGUCUUAUGCUCCAGUCUCUAUUAAAGGGAAACUUUGAAACCACACAGUGGCACAGCUUGGUCUGAUUUUGUGGUGGUCUGCAGGAUUCUUCAGGAGUCACAUGGAGAAAAUCAGAGGAAGUGGGCAGUAUGAUUACUCUCCAUGUUCAUCUAUGAGGAAACUGAGGUCUACUGAGGUGAAAUAUAUUGCUCCAGAUUAGUGCACCCAAAGUGAUGUACAAAAUGAUACUGGUUCAUGAAUUAUCACUGCUUCAUAAUAGGUGCAAAGGCUGACCCCUCGUGACCGAGAGUGGUAACUGUAGGCUGAAACCCUUUCACGUACUACUGCUUGAAGUAUUUGCUGCAGAUCUGGCAGUCUUCUGAGCUGAGGCAUUACACACAGACGGGGGUCUUCACGGAAGCUGUGCACAGAAUUCUUCUGAGGGCCUGGUUCCCCCUGAAACAGUAAAUCUCCAGUUGUGGAAUGCAAGCUCCUCAUGGAGAAGGAUAUAUUCUCAAAGGUGAAGCCCUGGAUCCUUGGAGCAUUUUAAUCACCUGGUAAAGAAACCCUAUGCCCAUGAGCAACCCUUCUUCAUUACCUCCUCACCCCAUUUGGUGGCAACCGAGAAUCUACUUUCUUCCUCUACAGAACUCCAACAACACAAAACCAAGAAAACAAGAAAUUAAAUAAAUUAUACACAGGCAUUAAUGCUGAUUGCCAUAGUGAGAAGCUGUGCAGUGAAGGUUUCUCAGCGUUGAGAUCUGUCACUGUCAUUCAAUGGAACUCCUAGACUUGCCACCCAUUCAUCUCCCUGAGGACUGGUCUCAGACAAGGAGCAAUUAAAUCACUGAUUAACAGAGCCACUCAAAUGUUUUUUUUCAUAACAAAAUUCAUCUUUAGGUAUAAAAAUGCAAUGCAAUGCAAAUAUAAUACUGAUAUAAAUAAACAUCAAUGAUGAUACUUAACUGGGGGUAGUGGGAGAAGCAGAGUUAUUGAAAUUAAGUAGAAAAAAUUUAUAUCAUGCCCUCCAUUGAAGGUUGUUUAAAUCCUAAAUUUUUCUUAUCUAUAAAAUGUAGCAAUUAUAAAUCACGUAAGUGCAAAAAUUAAGUGACCUUGUGUGCCAAUUAACUACUAGUUCCUUUCAUAUUAAAACAACAACUAAAACUAAACAGCGACCUGAUUUCCUUUCUGAUUAGCUUAUUUAUCCUCAUGAGGUCCCUCCAUGAAAAGCAUGAGCGGCAGUUCGUCCUGGGUUGAAUUUGGGUUCCAACCACAAUUAUACCAUGCCUGAAUUUGCAUUCACUGUAUUUCAAGGUCAGUAAGUUAUCUAUUAAUGAAAAGGUCAGGUGACAAAUACAACCUGAAUUAUAUGCAAAGUCAGAGAAAGGGCUUGCCAAUCAAACUAGUCACUCAGAUCUAGCUUGUUUAUGAUUCAUAAACUAUUUCCAUUUAAAUCUUUCCAAAAUGGCAGCAGGUAGGCCAGAGAUCUCUAAACUGUACAGACAAAUUUCCCAGCAAAAGCAUGGCUGGAAAGAAAGUGCUAUUUCAUGCACCCACUGAAUGUGAGUCUGAUUGAAUAUGCUUACCCAUCCAUGUACUUAUUAUAUUCCAAAUCACUGUCAGAACAAACCCUGAGAGCUAAGAGAUUUCUACAACAACACAUAAAAAGCAAUAGCAUAACACAAGUAACAACAAAUUAAAAAAUAUAAUAAAAAUUAUUAUAUCCUCAAUAGCAGCAGAAGCCAUAUGGUUUCUAGAAAUCAGUCUAAAAAAAAGGUUUAUAAGAACUCUAUCAAAAAUUAAAGUAUUACAGAAGGAAAUAAAAGGAAAUUUGAAUAAAUGAUGAAAUAUAACAUGUUCAUGUCUAAGAAGACUCUAACAAAAAUAAUGAUUUCCCCAAAUUAAUUUAUAAACUCAAGGCAAAUUUAUUUUAAAAAGUCUUAUAAAAUUUCUUUUGUGAAAAUUGAAAAGUUGAUACUAAAAGUCACAUAGAAGAAUAUAGUCAAUAGCUAAAGUGGGUAUAAUGCAUACUUAACCCUAAAUUUACGGAGAUUUAUACAUUAAGUUUGUACAUAUUUUUUAAACAUUUUUUAGUUGUCAGUGGACCUUUAUUUUAUUUAUUUAUUUUAUUGUUAUGUGGUGCUGAGGAUAAAACCCAGAGCUUCACACAU